rnacentral:tRNA from 1 species
GCCACAGUGGUGUAGCGGUCUAACAUUACGGUGUACUGGAUAGACCCGAGACGCGGGUUCAAAUCCCGCCUGAGCCA